CGCGGAAUUCAUAUUCAUAUUCAUAUUCAAUAAUACUCUAUACAAAUAAACAAAUCAUAAUCAUAGUGGAAACAUCUGCUAGUUUCUACAACUAAAAAUAUAUACUCCAGACUCUCAGGGCCUCUCUCACCUGGAUUUUAAAAGAAAAAGCAAUCUCUUCAAGUGUAAGCUUUAGUAAUUAUGAUACUAUGGAUUUGGUUGGAGGGCAAUACAAACCACCACUUCAUAAGAAUUAUCUCUCAGUUCCUCUACAUUUCUGGAUGGUAUGAGGUUGUCGCUGGAACAGAUGGUCUCCAACCAUGCAUCAUUUUGCUCGGUGAGUAAUAACCCAUUAGUCUCUGAAGUGGUGGGCCUCUUCCUCUUCCUCCUGCUGCUGGCAGCUCCUCAAUUUCUGAGGAUACUUUCUUUGAUUUGGACGUACUAGAAGAAGGGCCUGCUGAUUCAUAUGUUUGCACAGGAUACUUACCUUUGUUUCGAGCCUCAUUCAGAGCAAACUUCCUUCUGUCUUCAAUAUUCUCGAGUGAAACAUGUGGCACAUUUCUUUGAACAUCAUUGCUGUGGAUAGCAUGAAAUGGUUUCAGGGAAAUAGAAUUCCUAUCAGUGGAACAGCUUUUGCAGAAGGCAAGUCCACAAUCAUCAGAACAAGACACAGAAUCCGUAUAGGGACCACUGACAUGAGAUGUGGAAGUAAAGUUUCUCCGAUGAAUAGCAUCACUAUACUCGUCAACCUCACUUGGUGGAGGUGCUUCAGCACUUGGCAUACAUGGGAUUAGAUGAGUUCUGUCUUGAAGUGAAAACUUGAGUACCUUUGAACAAGCACCACAUUUUAGCUGAUGGCACCUCCUUUUAAAGAGGAGAAAAUCUACAGGCAGCUGGAGCUGUUUCAAGCAACAAUAACAAGUUAUGAAAGGGGCUGCACCUGCAAUGGGCAUGACGCGUCGCUUAGCCAAGUGAUGUUUCUCCCUUGAGUACCUCUUCACCUCGUUAUUUCUAUACCUCUGUUCAUCAGACUUUGUUCCUCGACUAUGUAUAGGAAACUGAGACUCCACAUGCCAUUGAGGACUCGAGGGACAAGAGCCAUAGGAAUUGUAAAGGCCGAGAUGAGAGUGUACCCUACCAAACCCUUUAUUGUGACGAAGGCCAGGUCGAGGAAAUUGUGCUGUGCACUGCCACUCUUGGGGACUGCAGCAGAAGGAAUGAUCAACUUGGUGUCUACUGGUUGUUGCCUCUGCUGAGAAAGGCAUUCGUGAUCGUGAGUGUUUCUUCAGUUGAGACCAAUUACUAUCCUCUCUGAGUUUUCCAGGAAAUCUAGGAUAGAUUAAGUUAUGGAAACCUUCCUCCUGUAAGACCUCACGACCAUAGUUCAUGCGAAAAUAAUCAUCUUUCCAAGUGACUCCAUUUGUUUUGUCAUUUAGAGAUUUUUUAUUAAGUUGAUCCUGCAACUCAUGAUAAACCAUUCUUAACAGUUUCAUCUUCUCCUGCUCAGCGUACAGAGGCUUGUCUUGUGCAGGAAAGCUUGAAUUAUAAUAGAACUCAUUGUGAUUGGAAGGACUGCCACUUUCAUAUCCAGCAAGGGAGUCCCCUCCAUGAAAAGACGGCUGAGACAGAUAUUCAUGUCUCGCUAAUCUUCUCCAGUUUCUACCUGAAUGGCCAAGUCGUGUGGGCUCCAGCAAUUCAUCCCGAUCCAACUUGCUAGAUUUCAUGGCAUAACGUGUCCUCUCAGGCAGAAUUGAUGCAGAAUUCCUGAAAUGAUGAUGUGUUUCACGAUUGCUGUUGAUUAGGAAUCUUUCCCUUCUGGGCCUCACAUCAGAAGCAGCAGACCUAUAAGCAUGUUUAGAUGAAUGUUUGUGUCGAUCAGGCAAUUGAUCAUCAGUUCCUUCAUAAGAAGAGACACCAUCAUCAUAAUAAGCACGCGAGCUUCUGGUUGUGGGGGAUUUGGACAAAUCUAUAAGAGAAUCACUAAGCUCAGAGCUGGGGGUGAAAAAAUCUGUGUUUUCAAAUGCAUCUGUAGACAUUACACAGUCGGAGCCGUGGUUAGCGCUUUCCUGAGGCUGCUCUAGAAGUUCAUUAGGUGAAGAUAAAAAGACAUCAAAUGAAAUGCUUUCUUUUGCUGGCUGUUGGGCAGUGGCAAUUGAAGUACUUCCCUUUAUAUCAACCGGCUCCCCAUGGCUUGAUCUUCUCAUAGAAGAAUCACUCUCAUUGUUAGCAUCUGCUUCUGUUUCAACCUUUCGCUUUGCUGCUAGUAGUAAGCUUUCAUCAUUAACAUCAACUUCUGAAUUUGUUCCUGAUAAUGGAGACUUGGGCAGCUUACCAUUUUCAAGAUGAGAAGGUUCAUUUGAUGAACAAUCUUCAUUGGAAACUCCAUGCUGCUCAAUAUUGCAAGCCGUAGAUUCAUUUUGAUGACUGCCAUUGUUUUGGUCCUCAUCUGAUAAGUUAACAACUUUGUCUUGCUCAUUGUCACAAAUCCCAGAUUCAUUUUUAUCACUCCCACUUUUUUGGUCAGCAUUUGAUAAGUUUUCGUCUUCAAGCUGCUCACUAUCAAAAUCCUCAUAUCCAUUUUGAUUGCUUACAUUGUUUCCAUCUUCAUUUGGUAAGUACAGGCCUGUGAGCUUGUCACCAUUGCAAUAGCUGGAUUCGAUUUGAUCCCUCCCAUUAUUUUGGUUUGAAGAGCAUUCCCCUACAGAAUGAAAAACAAUUUCAUGACUUAAGCUGCUAUGUUCCUUUUUAUCAGAAACAUGAUCCAAUUUAUCCAUCUCUGAAGCAUCGGUUUCAGGUAAUCCAGAUGUUGUGCUUUUGGCAUUCUCUUUUUGAGCUUUUGCUCGGAGGCGUGUGCCACAGCCACCACACUUAUAGACAAGAACACCUGGCGACUCAGGAAGGAUAUUCAGACAUCUAGGACAUCUAACCAAUCGAAUCUGCGCACUUGCACCACUGACCAUUUUCCUUCAAAUAUAUAAAUGUAAUCAAUCGAAGUGUUGGCUUUUGCCUGUAAUUCUGAUAUUGCUAGAUACCAAAUAGGUUCAACCUUGAACUUUGACCGUAUUGUUGGAGUAUGAGACUAAACCAUCUGCAACCAGAAAAAUACGUAGGCACACAUUAGAUAUAUUGCAUAAUUGUGGGAGUAAAUUGAGCAAAACAAGUUCUAGAAAUGGUUUAACAACAAAAGGUAAGUUCUACAAAAUACUUCAACGAGGUAAGUUGUGUAAUUUCACUAAUUUCCAUGACCAUUAACUUCUCUAUAUGAUGCCUAAACAAAAUAAAACUUCAAAUUGCUUUCAUUUAUAAUGUUUUCGCAGAAGUCAUUUUACAUCAAAACCCAUUCUUAUGCAAUACCAGAAUAAGAAAUGAUAGAUGAAGCAGUUAAGGCUGCCGCCAUUUCUUACUAGAUCCUGCUCAGCUACACAACUAGAUAUGAGAAACAUCCCAUUAACAUAAGAGCCAAGACACUUGUGGAACCAGAGCUAGUCUGGCCUGUUUGUCUGUCAAAAAUAAGACAUGGAAGGACAAAUGUGAAAUGUGCAUCGAACAACAAGACAAAGAAUACAUUAAAAAAAAAAGCGUCAUUUGGCUAAAUAUUUAGAUGUACAACUUGAGCUAAAAAGAAGCAAGUUAAUUACUGCAGGAAUAGUCAACUUUAAGCAGCAGAAGGAUAUAAAGACAAGUAAGAUAAGGAAGAAGAAGAACUACAAGUUAAGAACUUAGCUUAAAGAUGCUAAAAUUUUUGGCCCUACUAUUACAGAAAGGAAAUGGACACGGAUCCGCUCAUGGGAUAUAGAAUAUAUAAUAUAAGCAAGCAAGAAAACAAGAAACAAGAGAACAAGCACAACAUAUAUUUUAUUAUUAUGGAUUGAUUACCAGCAAGUAAACACAAAAAGAGGGGAAUAAGAAGCCUGCAUAAACAUGAAAUCCAAAGCAAGAAUAAGUACAGAAAGAAAAGGAAUGUAAAGAGGGUCAAUUAGAUCGGAUCAAAUCUAUCAUAAAAAGACCCAAAUACCCUUUUACUUAUUCUUCAAUCUGAGAAUUCAGAGGAGUCGAGAGAGAAGCUAGAAUUUAAGAGAUGAAUGAUAUGCAAUGCAGAUUAUGGAGAAUUUUGAAAAUGCAAAAGAAGGGAAGCGU
rnacentral:misc_RNA from 1 species